AACCUACACUCAAAAAAACGAUUCCUGGCAAUAUUUACUUUUAAGUAUUUGGAUCAUUUAGAUUUUAUUUAAAUACUCGUUUUUUAAAAUAUAUGUAAUCCGAUUUAUUAGAAUAUAUAUAAAUCUUUUCAAUUUAAAAACUAUUAGAUUUAAUCAGUUAAAAUGUAUGAAUAUGAAUUACAUAAAUCUAGCCGUGAAACAAACCGGAUAAAUUCUAUGAGAUUGAUUUACAUACAAGUGUCAGGAAACUGACUUUAGCAGAAGCGGAAAUGACGUCUAUUCACACUCCAGUCAGGAGGUGGCGCCAAAAUCAAAAACAGACGCUACAGCACAUGGACUUCGCCAUUUUGCAUUGGACUGGAUCGUCAUCUCACUAGUUUACGAUCGCCAAAUUGUAGAUACAGCAUCAUUUCAUCGUCUAUACGGUGGGACAACCUGCUAGACAGGUUGAAGACAUCUGUAUCUACCUCAAAGAAGGCAUGGAGAGACACAUUAAAGAAUAUGUGAAUUGUGAAAUUGGUGAGUUGGGAAUUGCACAGACAGUGGAAGUUUUGGAAAACCUACUUGGUGUCACACAUGGGUGUGAAAUUACUUUUUGGACUCAUUUAUGCACUUAAACUGAACUACCAGAAGAACCUCAGGUGCACCUUUGACCUUUCAAAAAAUCCUAAUGGAACUGGACUUGAUACAACCAAGCAAUCACUGAAAGAUGCUUCAGUGAAUACCUGACAGACACGCUGAUGCAUCCCCCUCAAAGUGGGUACAUUUUUGUACAUUUACAAGUGAACUUUUUAACAUUAAAGGAAUAUUGCACUUUCAUUAAACAAAAAUACUGAUAAUUAACUGUCUGUCAUCCAAGAUGCUUGUCUUUUUUGUUCAGUCGGGAAGAAAUUAUGUUUUUUGAGAAAAACAUUCCAGGAUUUUUCUUAAUUUAAUAGACCUUAUUGGACCUCAACAGUUAUGUUUCAAAGCAGCUUUAAAGGGCUCUAAACGAUCCCAACCGAGGCAUAAGGGUUUAAUCUAUCCAAAAGAUUAUCAUUUUUGGCAAGAAAACUUUUAAAACACAACAACUUGUCUUGCAUUAUCCAUGUGACACACAGUGCGACAUUGUGUACUACGUAAUAAAUGUUUACACAUCACAAAUGUGAAACGCACAUUUG